rnacentral:misc_RNA from 1 species
ACGACCCGUAUACUUGCGGAUACUCACACCAAUUGUCAGAAACACUAGACUGGGUAACCUUAGUGUGAUUCUUUUGACUAUUGACAACAGUUUAUUCCAGUGAACUAAAAAUGUAUGUUUUGCUGCUAAAAAUGUAUGUUUUGCUGGAUAAAAUGUAAGCUAUGAAAUGCAUUUACAUUAGAAAAUGCCACAGAAUGAUGCAAAUACAGUAUAACUUACAAGACUACCUUAAGUAAUUUGAUCAUGCUUAACACAACAAGUUCAAUUAUAAAUACAAACUUUGCAAGUUUUCACUUUCAUUACAAUGAAAUAACAAAAUUUAUGUUUUUAGGCGCAAAAAUAUUUAUUAUCAUGGUUAAAAUAAAAGAUAACUAAGCGGGACAAGUAGUCUUAUGGAAAUCAGAGGAUCAAGUGUUCAAAAUAAUGAAUGCCAUUUGGAUAGUUGUGAAUUUGAAAUAAAGAUGUAUUUGACAUUGGUUCUAUCAUAAAUAACAAGUGGAAAAAUCACAAUUUCCGACAUUCAUGCCAAAUUUAAACACCCCUUCAUUCCAAAUCUUCAUUUAUCCAAAUGGACCUUGAACAUAGAGAUAAAAUUCAACUAGGAAAUAUAGUAGUGAAGGUAAGGGGAUGCUGAUAUUCAAUUUAACAGAGUUGAGAAAAGGAUACUAAAUAAAGGCAACAACCAUUUGCAGUUUCUGCAGCAACAUGACCUAAGCAUGUAAUAACACAUAAAGUAACCCCGAGGCCAAGGAAAGUAUAAAUAAACCAGGGAGCCAGACGAUCAGAAUCAUCAAAUGGUAAGUCACCCAUUUCCUUUUGCCAGACCCUAAUGAGCCAAACUGCAUACAAUAUCAUCCCCAACCCAACCAUUCCCAUGACAGAAUUCAGCAACUUCAGUACGGAUUGUACACAACUCCUCAUCACUCUCCCCAUUUCUUAUGAAGCUAAAGCAAAAAAAGAAUGCUUCUUUGAUGGUUUAGCCCCCCGGAUGUUAAAAGAUUUUCGUGUUUCGGGUACCGAUUAGCUGGAUUCACCGUACCCAAGCUGGAUUCUUCUAUAAUUUUAAACAGUGGCUGUUUCUGUUUCAUUAAAAUCCAAAAAUAA